AGGGAAUAUUGGACAAUGGGCGCAAGCCUGAUCCAGCCAUGCCGCGUGAGUGAAGAAGGCCCUCGGGUUGUAAAGCUCUUUUGUCCGGAAAGAAAAGCAUUCGGUUAAUACCCGGGUGUUCUGACGGUACCGGAAGAAUAAGCACCGGCUAACUUCGUGCCAGCAGCCGCGGUAAUACGAAGGGUGCAAGCGUUACUCGGAAUUACUGGGCGUAAAGCGUGCGUAGGUGGUUUGUUAAGUCUGAUGUGAAAGCCCUGGGCUCAACCUGGGAAUGGCACUGGAUACUGGCAAGCUAGAGUGUGGCAGAGGGUAGUGGAAUUCCUGGUGUAGCAGUGAAAUGCGUAGAGAUCAGGAGGAACAUCCGUGGCGAAGGCGACUGCCUGGGCCAACACUGACACUGAGGCACGAAAGCGUGGGGAGCAAACA
rnacentral:rRNA from 1 species